AAACAAAUACAUCGUUAAGUGGAAAAAUUAUAUAAUAUAAGCUAGCUUGAUUAUAUAUAAUGUUGUACUUUCCAUUAUUAAUAACGAACCAUUCGGUUUCAUGAUACAAUACCAUCGGCAAGGAAAGAUGUUGGAGAGUUGACUGAGUUUAUGACAACACACGUUGUUGUUGUAGAUAAACUAGCUAGCUACAUGCACCUAGCUAGCUAGCGGGAUUAUAUUGUUAAUUUACAGUUUACAAAACGUUGAUUUGAUUGAACGACUGCGAUCUAUUCAGUUACAAAAUUGCAUUAUUUGUCUUUGAUGUACAUUUGCUCCACAGAGUUUAGCCAACUAGCUAGCUAACGUUACUGUACACGUGAAGACUACCUAAUAUGGGUCGCCGCAAGUCCAAGAGAAAGCCCCCUCCAAAGAAGAAACUUACUGGAAAUUUGGACACUCAAUUCACCUGUCCAUUCUGUAAUCACGAAAAGUCAUGUGAUGUGAAAAUGGAAAGGACCAGAAAUACUGGGAUAAUAUCAUGCACAGUUUGCCUGGAGGAGUUCCAAACCCCCAUUACCUAUCUGUCAGAGCCUGUGGACGUGUACAGUGAUUGGAUAGACGCUUGUGAAGCAGCCAAUCAGUAGCCCAGGCUCACCAGGGCGGAAGACCUCACGUUGGAACAGGAAGCUGAUUUAGAGGUGGCUCUCGUCUGUUUCUCACCAAUCACUGCCAGUCUUCAGCCCAAGAUGAUGGUCCCGUUCCAGGCCGACUACAUUGCAGACGUUGCAUUGCAUCAACCAAUAGCUGCGUGCCACGUCAUCAACUGCGGUUGGGCGUCAUAUUGCUAUGUCAUGUGGUUAGCUGAUAUGUGAACCAACUAUCCAGAUGUUGUGAGAUCUGGCAGAUGUCUACAAUGUAGUCUGCCUGGUAAGCAGCCUCUGACCUUUACCUCACUGCACAUCUCCCACACAAGUGACCUGGCGUCCACCGAGACUGUCUUGCGUAGCCAUAGUUCAGUCCAGAGCCCUAUAUAGGUUGUGCCCCAAAUGGCACCCCAUUCCCUAUGUAGGGCACUACUUUUGACCAGCUCCCGUAGGGCUCGGGUGGAAAAUAGUGCACAAUAUAGGGAAUAGGGUUCCAUUUGGGAUGUGACCUUAGAGGUAUAUAUGACUCUGGUUAAGUCAACCUAUUCUCCUACUCACCGUUUUAAUUUAUGCAGAUCUCAUUUUACAAGCUGUCAAGUUGUCAUGGCUCCUAGUUUACUGGUAGGAUUAUACAGGUAGUAGCUGCUCUUGGGUUAGUUUCACCACAAUUAGUUUUUACUCUCCCCUGUGUACAGUUCUUCUAGAGAUACACAAUACCACAGUGUACAGCGAUACCAUAGUGUUGGCUCAUUCCAUUGGGGUAUAUUCGGUGGAACUCUUGAGUGUGUGUUUAUGCAGAGUAACUUGUCACUCUUCAUGCUAACUAGUGGGGUGUUCCAGAAAGCAGGAUUGUUAAGUUUGCCAGCUAACUUUGAUAUGUAGUUAAAUAUAUCUUUAUUUUAUAUUUAGAAAGCUAAACUUGAAUAUGGGUUGUUGGUUGUCAAGUCAAUUAUACCAUGACAAUUUCAAGUUAGAUUUUUUUGGGGACUGUUAGCUGGCUACGUCAUUGAUCCUGCUUUCUGGAACAGUCUAAACUCUCAAGUGGUUUAUGAAAUAUUUUCUAUGAAUAUCCCAGGUCCUUUUUCUCAAUUUUAAAAUGCUUACGGUAUCUCCCUGAAGACAUUCCUUUGUUAGAGAAAAUGGACUGAAAGGGAGAGGUAUGAUGGUACAUACACACCAGGUAAACACUAGGUCCAAAUUAGUAUUAUUGAUUUGGUUAUUUUAGUUUUUCAAAUGAUAAGAAAAUUGCCAAUGAUUUGCAAUUGGUUGCCCUUUGUAAUGAUUUUUAUUUUCAAUGUGACAAAUUAAAAGUGUUGUAUUUUGACACCCACAAUGAAUGUGUCUGUGUCAAUGGUCUGAGAGUUAACCAGCUAAAGUCUGUCUGUACAGCAUGUUUCUACUGGAGAGACAUGCCGUUUCAUUUCCUGAUAAUAGGCUAGCUAGAGGAAACCGCCAAACUGUACAGUUUACCACUAAAACUGUAACAUUUUCCUUGUCUAAAACUCAGAUGUGAGCACUGUUUUUGCCCCAAUGCAUUUGUGUGAUUGUGUGCGUACCCAUGGUUCUCAGCUGUGGAUAUUGACAGUGAGUUAUGAUCACGAUGAUGAGUGGUUAUCAGUUUGUUCUAUCCCUCCAUCCCUAUCUCCCCCUCUAUCUCAAUCUCUCCUCUCAUUCAGCAUGUGAGGUCAAGUGUCACUCUAGUCUCUGUUGUCAAGGCUGCCAAUAACCCACACAAUGGCGCCAUGGCAACCGUUUCAAAGCUGCCGUGGCAUCACCCAGGUGGGUGCUACAAGUUUGGCAAUGGAGGAGCGGGUCCUAUAGAGGAACUGACCCUCAGAAGCAGAUGUGGUGCACUGAUGAAGCCCCCCGGGCCUGUUUGUUUCUCUCUGGCUGCACCAUCGAUGCCCCGUCUGCUGAAGCUACACUGCCUUUCCAAUCCAAACUGCCUCAACUCCCAGCCUUUCAUCAGAAGCCGAAUAGAGACAUUCGAUGUCCAUCU